rnacentral:lncRNA from 1 species
GACCUUCGGGGGCUGAUUUUUGGGCGCGGGUGUGCCCGUGGCCUAUUUUUGGCACACGGAGGCCGCCCGCAAAGUCUGGGGCCAUUCCGAGUCCGGAGGACGAACUUCGCCCACGCCCCCCACCAAGGCUAUAGCCCACCCGUUUUUUGGCCAUUUUUCCGCUGGAGGGUCUUGGCGCCCCGACCUUCGGGGGCUGAUCUUUGGGCGCGGGUGUGCCCGUGGCCUAUUUUUGGCACACGGAGGCCGCCCGCAAAGUCUGGGGCCAUUCCGAGUCCGGCGGACGAACUUCGCCCACGCCCCCCACCAAGGCUAUAGCCCACCCGUUUUUUGGCCAUUUUUCCGCUGGGGGGUCUUGGCUCCCCGACCUUCGGGGGCUGAUUUUUGGGCGCGGGUGUGCCCGUGGCCUAUUUUUGGCACACGGAGGCCGCCCGCAAAGUCUGGGGCCAUUCCGAGUCCGGCGGACGAACUUCGCCCACGCCCCCCACCAAGCUAUAGCCCACCCGUUUUUUGCCAUUUUUCCGCUGGGGGGUCUUGGCGCCCCGACCUUCGGGGGCUGAAUUUUGGGCGCGGGUGUGCCCGUGGCCUAUUUUUGGCACACGGAGGCCGCCCGCAAAGUCUGGGGCCAUUCCGAGUCCGGCGGACGAACUUCGCCCACGCCCCCCACCAAGGCUAUAGCCCACCCGUUUUUUGGCCAUUUUUCCGCUGGGGGGUCUUGGCGCCCCGACCUUCGUGGGCUGAAUUUUGGGCGCGGGUGUGCCCGUGGCCUAUUUUUUGCACACGGAGGCCUUCCGCAAAGUCUGGGGCCAUUCCGAGUCCCGCGGACGAACUUCGCCCACGCCCCCCACCAAGGCUAUAGCCCACCCGUUUUUUGGCCAUUUUUCCGCUGGGGGGUCUUGGCGCCCCGACCUUCGGGGGCUGAAUUUUGGGCGCGGGUGUGCCCGUGGCCUAUUUUUGGCACACGGAGGCCGCCCGCAAAGUCUGGGGCCAUUCCGAGUCCGGCGGGCGAACUUCGCCCACGCCCCCCACCAAGGCUAUAGCCCACCCGUUUUUUGGCCAUUUUUCCGCUGGGGGGUCUUGGCGCCCCGACCUUCGGGGGCUGAAUUUUGGGCGCGGGUGUGCCCGUGGCCUAUUUUUGGCACACGGAGGCCGCCCGCAAAGUCUGGAGCCAUUCCGAGUCCGGCGGACAAACUUCGCCCACGUCCCCCACCAAGGCUAUAGCCCACCCGUUUUUUGGCCAUUUUUCCGCUGGGGGGUCUUGGCGCCCCGACCUUCGGGGGCUGAAUUUUGGGCGCGGGUGUGCCCGUGGCCUAUUUUUGGCACACGGAGGCCGCCCGCAAAGUCUGGGGCCAUUCCGAGUCCGGCGGACGAACUUCGCCCACGCCCCCCACCAAGGCUAUAGCCCACCCGUUUUUUGGCCAUUUUUCCGCUAGGGGGUCUUGGCGCCCCGACCUUCGGGGGCUGAUUUUUGGGCGCGGGUGUGCCCGUGGCCUAUUUUUGGCACACGGAGGCCGCCCGCAAAGUCUGGGGCCAUUCCGAGUCCGGCGGACGAACUUCGCCCACGCCCCCCACCAAGGCUAUAGCCCACCCGUUUUUUGGCCAUUUUUCCGCUGGGGGGUCUUGGCGCCCCGACCUUCGGGGGCUGAUUUUUGGGCGCGGGUGUGCCCGUGGCCUAUUUUUGGCACACGGAGGCCGCCCGCAAAGUCUGGGGCCAUUCCGAGUCCGGCGGACGAACUUCGCCCACGCCCCCCACCAAGGCUAUAGCCCACCCGUUUUUUGGCCAUUUUUCCGCUGGGGGGUCUUGGCUCCCCGACCUUCGGGGGCUGAUUUUUGGGCGCGGGUGUGCCCGUGGCCUAUUUUUGGCACACGGAGGCCGCCCGCAAAGUCUGGGGCCAUUCCGAGUCCGGCGGACGAACUUCGCCCACGCCCCCCACCAAGGCUAUAGCCCACCCGUUUUUUGGCCAUUUUUCCGCUGGGGGGUCUUGGCGCCCCGACCUUCGGGGGCUGAUUUUUGGGCGCGGGUGUGCCCGUGGCCUAUUUUUGGCACACGGAGGCCGCCCGCAAAGUCUGGGGCCAUUCCGAGUCCGGCGGACGAACUUCGCCCACGCCCCGCACCAAGGCUAUAGCCCACCCGUUUUUUGGCCAUUUUUCCGCUGGGGGGUCUUGGCGCCCCGACCUUCGGGGGCUGAAUUUUGGGCGCGGGUGUGCCCGUGGCCUAUUUUUGGCACACGGAGGCCGCCCGCAAAGUCUGGGGCCAUUCCGAGUCCGGCGGACGAACUUCGCCCACGCCCCCCACCAAGGCUAUAGCCCACCCGUUUUUUGGCCAUUUUUCCGCUGGGGGGUCUUGGCGCCCCGACCUUCGGGGGCUGAUUUUUGGGCGCGGCUGUGCCCGUGGCCUAUUUUUGGCACACGGAGGCCGCCCGCAAAGUCUGGGGCCAUUCCGAGUCCGGCGGACGAACUUCGCCCACCACCCCCACCAAGGCUAUAGCCCACCCGUUUUUUGGCCAUUUAUCCGCUGGGGGGUCUUGGCGCCCCGACCUUCGGGGGCUGAAUUUUGGGCGCGGGUGUGCCCGUGGCCUAUUUUUGGCACACGGAGGCCGCCCGCAAAGUCUGGGGCCAUUCCGAGUCCGGCGGACGAACUUCGCCCACGCCCCCCACCAAGGCUAUAGCCCACCCGUUUUUUGGCCAUUUUUCCGCUGGGGGGUCUUGGCGCCCCGACCUUCGGGGGCUGAUUUUUGGGCGCGGGUGUGCCCGUGGCCUAUUUUUGGCACACGGAGGCCGCCCGCAAAGUCUGGGGCCAUUCCGAGUCCGGCGGACGAACUUCGCCCACGCCCCCCACCAAGGCUAUAGCCCACCCGUUUUUUGGCCAUUUUUCCGCUGGGGGGUCUUGGCUCCCCGACCUUCGGGGGCUGAUUUUUGGGCGCGGGUGUGCCCGUGGCCUAUUUUUGGCACACGGAGGCCGCCCGCAAAGUCUGGGGCCAUUCCGAGUCCGGCGGACGAACUUCGCCCACGCCCCCCACCAAGGCUAUAGCCCACCCGUUUUUUGGCCAUUUUUCCGCUGGGGGGUCUUGGCGCCCCGACCUUCGGGGGCUGAAUUUUGGGCGCGGGUGUGCCCGUGGCCUAUUUUUUGCACACGGAGGCCGCCCGCAAAGUCUGGGGCCAUUCCGAGUCCGGCGGACGAACUUCGCCCACGCCCCCCACCAAGGCUAUAGCCCACCCGUUUUUUGGCCAUUUUUCCGCUGGGGGGUCUUGGCGCCCCGACCUUCGGGGGCUGAAUUUUGGGCGCGGGUGUGCCCGUGGCCUAUUUUUGGCACACGGAGGCCGCCCGCAAAGUCUGGGGCCAUUCCGAGUCCGGCGGACGAACUUCGCCCACGCCCCCCACCAAGGCUAUAGCCCACCCGUUUUUUGGCCAUUUUUCCGCUGGGGGGUCUUGGCGCCCCGACCUUCAGGGGCUGAUUUUUGGGCGCGGGUGUGCCCGUGGCCUAUUUUUGGCAAACGGAGGCCGCCCGCAGAGUCUGGGGCCAUUCCGAGUCCGGCGGACGAGCUUCGCCCACGCCCCCCACCAAGGCUAUAGCCCACCCGUUUUUUGGCCAUUUUUCCGCUGGGGGGUCUUGGCGCCCCGACCUUCGGGGGCUGAUUUUUGGGCGCGGGUGUGCCCGUGGCCUAUUUUUGGCACACGGAGGCCGCCCGCAAAGUCUGGGGCCAUUCCGAGUCCGGCGGACGAACUUCGCCCACGCCCCCCACCAAGGCUAUAGCCCACCCGUUUUUUGGCCAUUUUUCCGCUGGGGGGUCUUGGCGCCCCGACCUUCGGGGGCUGAUUUUUGGGCGCGGGUGUGCCCGUGGCCUAUUUUUGGCAUACGGAGGCCGCCCGCAAAGUCUGGGGCCAUUCCGAGUCCGGCGGACGAACUUCGCCCACGCCCCCCACCAAGGCUAUAGCCCACCCGUUUUUUGGCCAUUUUUCCGCUGGGGGGUCUUGGCUCCCCGACCUUCGGGGGCUGAUUUUUGGGCGCGGGUGUGCCCGUGGCCUAUUUUUGGCACACGGAGGCCGCCCGCAAAGUCUGGGGCCAUUCCGAGUCCGGCGGACGAACUUCGCCCACGCCCCCCACCAAGGCUAUAGCCCACCCGUUUUUUGGCCAUUUUUCCGCUGGGGGGUCUUGGCGCCCCGACCUUCGGGGGCUGAAUUUUGGGCGCGGGUGUGCCCGUGGCCUAUUUUUGGCACACGGAGGCCGCCCGCAAAGUCUGGGGCCAUUCCGAGUCCGGCGGACGAACUUCGCCCACGCCCCCCACCAAGGCUAUAGCCCACCCGUUUUUUGGCCAUUUUUCCGCUGGGGGGACUUGGCUCCCCGACCUUCGGGGGCUGAUUUUUGGGCGCGGGUGUGCCCGUGGCCUAUUUUUGGCACACGGAGGCCGCCCGCAAAGUCUGGGGCCAUUCCGAGUCCGGCGGACGAACUUCGCCCACGCCCCCCACCAAGGCUAUAGCCCACCCGUUUUUUGGCCAUUUUUCCGCUGGGGGGUCUUGGCGCCCCGACCUUCGGGGGCUGAAUUUUGGGCGCGGGUGUGCCCGUGGCCUAUUUUUGGCACACGGAGGCCGCCCGCAAAGUCUGGGGCCAUUCCGAGUCCGGCGGACGAACUUCGCCCACGCCCCCCACCAAGGCUAUAGCCCACCCGUUUUUUGGCCAUUUUUCCGCUGGGGGGUCUUGGCGCCCCGACCUUCGGGGGCUGAAUUUUGGGCGCGGGUGUGCCCGUGGCCUAUUUUUGGCACACGGAGGCCGCCCGCAAAGUCUGGGGCCAUUCCGAGUCCGGCGGACGAACUUCGCCCACGCCCCCCACCAAGGCUAUAGCCCACCCGUUUUUUGGCCAUUUUUCCGCUGGGGGGUCUUGGCGCCCCGACCUUCGGGGGCUGAAUUUUGGGCGCGGGUGUGUCCGUGGCCUAUUUUUGGCACACGGAGGCCGCCCGCAAAGUCUGGGGCCAUUCCGAGUCCGGCGGACGAACUUCGCCCACGCCCCCCACCAAGGCUAUAGC